GAUGAACGCUUGCGGCGUGCCUAAUACAUGCCAGUCGAGCGAACGGACGAGAAGCUUGCUUCUCUGAUGUUAGCGGCGGACGGGUGAGUAACACGUGGAUAACCUACCUAUAAGACUGGGAUAACUUCGGGAAACCGUAGCUAAUACCGGAUAAUAUUUUGCACCGCAUGGUUCAAAAGUGAAAGACGGUCUUGCUGUCACUUAUAGCUGGAUCCGCGCUGCAUUAGCUAGUUGGUAAGGUAACGGCUUACCAAGGCAACGAUGCAUAGCCGACCUGAGAGGGUGAUCGGCCACACUGGAACUGAGACACGGUCCAGACUCCUACGGGAGGCAGCAGUAGGGAAUCUUCCGCAAUGGGCGAAAGCCUGACGGAGCAACGCCGCGUGAGUGAUGAAGGUCUUCGGAUCGUAAAACUCUGUUAUUAGGGAAGAACAUAUGUGUAAGUAACUGUGCACAUCUUGACGGUACCUAAUCAGAAAGCCACGGCUAACUACGUG
rnacentral:rRNA from 1 species